GCUGGGCGCAGUGGUGCACAUCUGUAAUCCCAGCAGCUUGGGAGGCUGAGGCAGGAGAACCACAGGUUCAAAGCCAGCUUCAGCAACUUAGCGAGGCCCUAAGUAACUCAGUGAGAUCCUGUCUCUA
rnacentral:sRNA from 1 species